rnacentral:misc_RNA from 1 species
GGACUACUAGGGUAUCUAAUCCUGUUUGCUCCCCAUGCUUUCGUACCUCAGCGUCAGUAUUAGGCCAGAUGGCUGCCUUCGCCAUCGGUAUUCCUCCAGAUCUCUACGCAUUUCACCGCUACACCUGGAAUUCUACCAUCCUCUCCCAUACUCUAGCUUCCCAGUAUCGAAUGCAAUUCCCAAGUUAAGCUCGGGGAUUUCACAUCCGACUUAAAAAGCCGCCUACGCACGCUUUACGCCCAGUAAAUCCGAUUAACGCUCGCACCCUCUGUAUUACCGCGGCUGCUGGCACAGAGUUAGCCGGUGCUUAUUCUGCGAGUAACGUCCACUAUCCAAGAGUAUUAGUCUCAGUAGCCUCCUCCUCGCUUAAAGUGCUUUACAACCAUAAGGCCUUCUUCAC